ACGGCCUUAUGACGAUAUCUCUGCAUUAUACCCAGCACAGUGACUUUUUGACGGGGAGUUUCCUUAGUUUAUUCCAAAUUCCUAACGCUUCAGCUCCUCAACCCCCUGCCUUGGGGUGAAACGGAGCAAGGGCUUUUCAGUCCUGACGAACCGAGGCCCUGGCAGAAGGCAGCUGAGCAGGGGAGCCCUGGGAUGCUGGGACUGCGCGGUACCGAAGUGGGGGGUGGCAGCUUUUGCAAUGGGGGCCUCACCGGCUCAGGAGCUGAGCCCUCCCGCCCGCCGACACAUCCUGGGUCUUGGAUCACUUUCACCACCUCAAGAUGAGAGAAGCAGCUGCGUAAGUCAGGUGGAACCCUGCCUCCGAACACACAAUCCCCCAAGAGAAAGGUGUUGGUGGCAGAAACUUGAAUUAAGUAUCUGGAGCGGAUGAUGAAACAAGAAAGUCUGAACGGCUUCUGAGGUGAUCUAGGACUGGAGGAGGAGAGUAUGUCCUGCUAUGCUGUAAAGCUGACUGGCAGCCUCCCUACGGCCCCCUCCCCCCAGUGCCUCCAGCCCGC